GCCUACGGGGGGCAGCAGUGAGGAAUAUUGGUCAAUGGUCGGGAGACUGAACCAGCCAAGCCGCGUGAGGGAGGAAGGUACAGAGUAUCGUAAACCUCUUUUGUCAGGGAACAAAGGCGGGGACGUGUCCCCGGAUGAGUGUACCUGAAGAAAAAGCAUCGGCUAACUCCGUGCCAGCAGCCGCGGUAAUACGGAGGAUGCGAGCGUUAUCCGGAUUUAUUGGGUUUAAAGGGUGCGCAGGCGGGCUGUUAAGCCGGCGGUAAAAAUUCAGGGCUCAACCCUGUCGAG
rnacentral:rRNA from 1 species